rnacentral:rRNA from 1 species
GCAACGAGCGCAACCCCUACUGUUAGUUGCCAUCAUUCAGUUGGGCACUCUAGCGAGACUGCCGGUAAUAAACCGGAGGAAGGUGGGGAUGACGUCAAAUCAUCAUGCCCCUUAUGACCUGGGCUACACACGUGCUACAAUGGUUGGUACAACGAGUUGCGAGUCGGUGACGGCGAGCUAAUCUCUUAAAGCCAAUCUCAGUUCGGAUUGUAGGCUGCAACUCGCCUACAUGAAGUCGGAAUCGCUAGUAAUCGCGGAUCAGCACGCCGCGGUCGAAUACGUUCCCGGGCCUU